rnacentral:rRNA from 1 species
GUGGGUUGCAAAAGAAGUAGGUAGCUUAACCUUCGGGAGGGCGCUUACCACUUUGUGAUUCAUGACUGGGGUGAAGUCGUAACAAGGUAACCGUAGGGGAACCUGCGGUUGGAUCACCUCCUUACCU